rnacentral:rRNA from 1 species
AUCUCUGUAGAGUCUGCAUAUCAAUAAGCGGAGGAAAAGAAACUAACUAGGAUUCCCUUAGUAACGGCGAGUGAAGCGGGAAGAGCUCAAAUUUGAAAUCUUCAAGGUUCUACCUUGACGAAUUGUAGUUUAAAGAAGUGUUUUCUGUUAGAUGAGUAGCAAAAGUUCCUUGGAAUAGGACAUCAUAGAGGGUGAGAAUCCCGUAUUUGGUUAUUCAUUCUAGCUUUGUGAUACACUUUCAAAGAGUCGGAUUGUUUGGGAAUGCAGUCCAAAAUGGGUGGUAAAUUUCAUCUAAAGCUAAAGUAUUGGCGAGAGACCGAUAGCGAACAAGUACCGUGAGGGAAAGAUGAAAAGAACUUUGAAAAGAGAGUUAAACAGUACGUGAAAUUGUCAAAAGGGAAGCGUUUGACACCAGUGUUGUUUUUCCGAAAAUCAAUUACGAAUGGCUUGAUUUUGUGUUGUAUUGACCUUAUCAGCUUUCUUCACUUUUUUCGAGUCUUUCUUAAUGCACUUUUCGGUUAACAAGUCAACAUCAAUUUCCUUUGUUGUAAAAGAGUAUUCGGAAGGUGGCUUUCUUUUCGGAGAAAGUGUUUAUAGCCCUAUACUUCUACAAUCGGAGAGAUUGAGGUCUGCAGCGUAGAUCCUUCGGGGUUAGAUACACUUGUGCUAAGUUGUAGCUUUUCAUAGACAACUUGUUGACUAUGUUUAGUCAUGCGGCUUACUCGCUUGUGCUAUUUUACCUACGCUUAGGAUGUUGACUGAUAUGUAGUCGUA